GACGAACGCUGGCGGCGUGCUUAACACAUGCAAGUCGAACGGAAAGGCCCUGCUUUUGUGGGGUGCUCGAGUGGCGAACGGGUGAGUAACACGUGAGUAACCUGCCCUUGACUUUGGGAUAACUUCAGGAAACUGGGGCUAAUACCGGAUAGGAGCUCCUGCUGCAUGGUGGGGGUUGGAAAGUUUCGGCGGUUGGGGAUGGACUCGCGGCUUAUCAGCUUGUUGGUGGGGUAGUGGCUUACCAAGGCUUUGACGGGUAGCCGGCCUGAGAGGGUGACCGGCCACAUUGGGACUGAGAUACGGCCCAGACUCCUACGGGAGGCAGCAGUGGGGAAUAUUGCACAAUGGGCGGAAGCCUGAUGCAGCAACGCCGCGUGCGGGAUGACGGCCUUCGGGUUGUAAACCGCUUUCGCCCGUGACGAAGCGUGAGUGACGGUAAUGGGUAAAGAAGCACCGGCUAACUACGUGCCAGCAGCCGCGGUGAUACGUAGGGUGCGAGCGUUGUCCGGAUUUAUUGGGCGUAAAGGGCUCGUAGGUGGUUGAUCGCGUCGGAAGUGUAAUCUUGGGGCUUAACCCUGAGCGUGCUUUCGAUACGGGUUGACUUGAGGAAGGUAGGGGAGAAUGGAAUUCCUGGUGGAGCGGUGGAAUGCGCAGAUAUCAGGAGGAACACCAGUGGCGAAGGCGGUUCUCUGGGCCUUUCCUGACGCUGAGGAGCGAAAGCGUGGGGAGCGAACAGGCUUAGAUACCCUGGUAGUCCACGCUGUAAACGGUGGGUACUAGGUGUGGGGUCCAUUCCACGGGUUCCGUGCCGUAGCUAACGCUUUAAGUACCCCGCCUGGGGAGUACGGCCGCAAGGCUAAAACUCAAAGGAAUUGACGGGGCCCCGCACAAGCGGCGGAGCAUGCGGAUUAAUUCGAUGCAACGCGUAGAACCUUACCUGGGUUUGACAUGGAUCGGGAGUGCUCAGAGAUGGGUGUGCCUCUUUUGGGGUCGGUUCACAGGUGGUGCAUGGCUGUCGUCAGCUCGUGUCGUGAGAUGUUGGGUUAAGUCCCGCAACGAGCGCAACCCUUGUUCACUGUUGCCAGCACGUUAUGGUGGGGACUCAGUGGAGACCGCCGGGGUCAACUCGGAGGAAGGUGGGGAUGACGUCAAGUCAUCAUGCCCCUUAUGUCCAGGGCUUCACGCAUGCUACAAUGGCUGGUACAGAGAGUGGCGAGCCUGUGAGGGUGAGCGAAUCUCGGAAAGCCGGUCUCAGUUCGGAUUGGGGUCUGCAACUCGACCUCAUGAAGUCGGAGUCGCUAGUAAUCGCAGAUCAGCAACGCUGCGGUGAAUAAGUUCCCGGGGCU
rnacentral:rRNA from 1 species